UUCCCUUUCACUGAACCAGACUGAAACUCUUUCUCAUGGCUAAUUUCGCUGUUGCUGAUUAUUUCGGCCACCGUAUCCUUCUCAUCAGCACGAUUUCUCUUGUUUCUUGCUAAGUCUUUCCUUACCCAUACAUUUCUGACAGUCUUAACUGGGUUUUUCGUAGAUGAACCGUUGAAAGAAGCUGGAAAGCUCGCCUUGCCAUCGUCUCUGUACUCUAGGUUGGCUAGCACAUCAAAUUGAGAUUUAUUAAUGAAGCUAGAUCCUCGAUUUGGGUGAUUUUGCUGAUUACCCGUUGGAUUCUUCAGUUUUCUUGCUCAGGCUGGUCUUUGAAACUUCAUCCACUCUUCGCAAGUUUCGUCCAGCCAGUAAGCGUCCGAUGAACCUUCAUGAGUUCAUCUUGCUAGUUUUUCUGGAGGAUCCAUGAUAGCAUCUUGAGAUUUUGAAGCUGAGAAAACGAAAUCAGACUUGGAUUUCAUUGCAGAAAAUGAGUAUUUGACGAUGAAGAUUGAAGACGUUUCCAAUCUCACAAUUUAAGAAGCAUAUUUUGACACGUAGGAUGAGAUUGAGAAGGGGAAGAAGACGGGAUUCUUUUGCAAACUGAUGCAAUGGGUUUUGUUUCAUGAAGGCUGUAGUUAUACGGGGGAACGGAUUGCAUGUUUCUCUUUUUUUAAAAAGUAUCUUAUUUAACUAAUAAAACAUUAGUUGAGUUAUUUAAUAUCUCUAAACACUAAUUAUUUAUUGAAAUGUUAUAAAACUGUAUAAAAAAGGAAAUGUUAUUUCUUCA